rnacentral:rRNA from 1 species
AGUGAACGCUGGCGGUAGGCCUAACACAUGCCAGUCGAACGGCAGCACAGUAAGAGCUUGCUCUUACGGGUGGCGAGUGGCGGACGGGUGAGGUAUACAUCGGACUCUACUUUUUCGUGGGGGAUCACGUAGGUAAACUUACGCUAAUACCGCAUACGACCUACGGGUGAAAGCAGGGGAUCUUCUGACCUUGCGCGAUUGAAUGAGCCGGUGUCGGAUUAGCUAGUUGGCGGGGUAAAGGCCCACCAAGGCGACGAUCCGUAGCUGGUCUGAGAGGAUGAUGAGCCACACUGAAGCUGAGACACGGUCCAGGCUCCUACGGGAGGCAGCAGUGGGUAAGAUUGGACAAUGGGCGCAAGCCUGAUCCAGCCAUACCGCGUGGGUGAAGAAGGCCUGCGGGUUGUAAAGCCCUUUUGUUGGGAAAGAAAAGCAGCAGGUUAAAACCCCGCUGUUCUGACGGUACCCAUAGAAUAAGCACCGGCUAACUUCGU